rnacentral:rRNA from 1 species
CGUAGGGUGCAAGCGUUGUCCGGAAUUAUUGGGCGUAAAGAGCUCGUAGGCGGUUUGUCGCGUCGAAUGUGAAAACCGGGGCUCAACCCCGGGCCUGCAUUCGAUACGGGCAGACUAGAGUUCGGUAGGGGAGUCUGGAAUUCCUGGUGUAGCGGUGAAAUGCGCAGAUAUCAGGAGGAACACCGGUGGCGAAGGCGGGACUCUGGGCCGAUACUGACGCUGAGGAGCGAAAGCGUGGGGAGCGAACAGGA